rnacentral:rRNA from 1 species
UACAGAGGUCUCAAGCGUUGUUCGGAUUCAUUGGGCGUAAAGGGUGCGUAGGUGGCUUGGUAAGUUGAAGGUGAAAUCUCGGAGCUUAACUCCGAAACUGCCUUCAAUACUGCCGGGCUUGAGGACUGUAGAGGAGAAUGGAAUUCACGGUGUAGCAGUGAAAUGCGUAGAUAUCGUGAGGAAGACCAGUGGCGAAGGCGAUUCUCUGGGCAGUUCCUGACACUGAGGCACGAAGGCUAGGGGAGCAAAC